rnacentral:rRNA from 1 species
CGCGUAGGUGGUUCGAUAAGUCGGAGGUGAAAUCCCUCGGCUCAACCGAGGACCCGCGUCCGAUACUGUCGAACUUGAGUGCAGGAGAGGAGAGCGGAAUUCCCAGUGUAGCGGUGAAAUGCGUAGAUAUUGGGAGGAACACCGGUGGCGAAGGCGGCUCUCUGGACUGUUACUGACACUGAGGCGCGAAAGCUAGGGGAGCAAACGGGAUUAGAUACCCCGGUAGUCCUAGCCGUAAACGAUGGGCACUAGGUGUGGGAGGUAUCGACCCCUUCCGUGCCGCAGCUAACGCAUUAAGUCGCCCCGCUGGGGAGUACGGCCGCAAGGUUGAA